UGGUGCUCCAGCCUGCUCCUUGGGAUAGCACAGCCUGCUCUACCAGAGUUCAGCUCCCCGUCCUGGCCCGCCUCCGCGCCGCGCCGCCUUCCCCCACGGCCAGCUCCGGGAUUUGGGCUCGUAGCCCUGUGUUUGGGACGGGGAAACUGAGGCACGGCGACCUGCUUGCGGCUGUGCUGCACAUCGGCAUCCAGCACCAAAAUCCCGAUUCCCCGUCCUGCGAGCUGGGGCAGGAGGCGGUGGGAAGCCUCGCACGGGCUAUUGCUUACGAUACGGGCUCCUCCGGUUUCUGUCCUGAGAGGCAUGGCUGAUGCGCCGGAGCAGAGGGAGGGUGUGCGGCCGCCCUUCUCUCUAGGAACAGCCUUCAAGACCGCGCAAAAGCAGUAAGUAAUGUGAUCGGGCACUAUGUCAGCUCCCUUCACGCUGAUGAGGGCUUGUAAGGGAAAGAGCACGGCAGGUUUCGUAGGCAAGCCGCAUGGGGGUUUUCGGUGGAACGAUUGCAGCUUGCUGCCCGCCCUGAACCAGCCUCCCACCAACUCGACCUGCUGCCUAGAAGAGGGGGACAGCAGCGACGGAGCCACAGCACCCCAGAGCCCUCUGCCAAACCUCCUGGGACUGGCAGCAGGUGACAGGAGUCUCUCUGCAUUGCUUUUGGACGGGAGCUUGCCGGCCCGCGUGCGCUCUAGUCAGAGCUGGGCUGGGUGGGAGCGGUGCCUGGCACGGCUGGGCUACCCAAGGGCUCGAUGCUCCUCUCACUGCUGUUGAGGUGGGAAUCAGAGUCAUUCCAAUAAAAUCAAGGGUUUUCCAGUAGUGUUGGUGCCAAGCGUGUCCCUCCAAGAGACCGUCCUCUCCAUACCUCCCUUGCCCCAGGCAGCUUCCCGGCAGGACACGGGAGGGUGAGGAGCCAUGUCUCCCUGAUGUCCUUCAGCCCCGACAGCCCCAGGGAGCCUGGCCGAAGCAGCGUCGGAGCCUACGGAUCGGAGCAAGCCGUCCUGGGAGAAAGCGCUCCCUCCAUGAACAUGGCCCAGAGAAAACACGGAAGGUGCAGUGCAGAGGCCCUGGAGAGGACACGUUUGCAGAAGGGACGAGGAAAGACACAUCAUCUUGAACGCCCCACACCUCAGGGCGUGUUUUCAGCAACGUAAAUCCCAGGCUGUCCAUUGAACUUCUACAGAGAGACCGAAUGCAUCGGCAGAAGAGCUGUUGCCUGCUUUGAAUAUUCACGUGUCUGAGGAACCUUGAGUUGCUCUGCCAAGUCUGGGGAAGAUUUGGGGAAAAAACAUGUUCUAUACUGAUCGUUUCCUGCCUCUCCAUCAUAUGACAAUUCCAGGUGGCUGCCAGGGGCGAAAAACUGUGAUGGAGCUUCAAAUACUCAGCUUCAUUCUGGCCUUUCCUAUGGAUAAACUUGCUCCAAAGAGAGCCUGUGAGCACAGCUGAAGCAUGAGCCAGAGGAAACUUUGGAAGCAAAACACUACUCUGUGGUCAUUCCGGGUUUGUGGGCAAACUGCAAAAAAUAGCUUUUUUUUUCUCUCCAGACGUGACAAGAAUCCUCAUAAGAAGCUGUGGUCUCAGAAAGCUGCCAGCCCAGCUCUGCUGGCUCAAGGGCUUUGCUCCCAAUCUCCCUUAAGCCAGAUGGUAUCUCUGGGAUGGUGCCAGAGUGAUCUUGGGAGGCAACGUCAGACGCAGGAGAGCAGAACGGGCUCCUGGAGGCCAGUGUGACUUCACAGCGGUGACACUGGGGACCUUGAACUGACUCCUGGACAAGCAGUGACAGAACUGGAGCCAAAUCCACUGGUCCAGUUUCUGUUCGCUAAGCAGCGGCCGAAACUCCUGUGUCUCUUUCGAGGCGCAGAAUGGGAAUUCCCUGGGGCGAAGGGCUCCCAGUCUGCAGCACCCGGGCGGCACGGACUCAAAAACAUCCUUGUGAGUUUUUCCGCCUUCCCGUCGCCCCCGUCUUUGUCAUCUCCUCCCUGACCGUGCGUGUGGGGUCCGCGGGAUCUCUGCAGUUUGGGCGUGCAGAGAAGGAUGCUUUCCCCUCCGGCUUCCUGCCCCACCAAGCUCAGCCGUCCCCUCUCGCUGCUGCUGCUCCUUGCGCGUCCCAGAGCCGCCGUCCUGCCGGCCAGUGAUGAGGGACGGGGAUCACCGAUCGUUGUUUCUUCGCUGCUCAGGAAUGGCUGUGCGGGAAUAGAUACCCACCCCAGCAGCUGGCAGCAGUCACGCCAGCGGCGGGGAGCGGAUGAUCUCUUUCCAACCAAGAACCGGGCAGCAAGUGAAAUGGGGCUUUUUUGAUAAGUGGAGCAUGUCAUCAGCAAGCUGUUAACCCAGGAGCCCUCCGGAUGGGCAGGAUGGGCACCGCGGUCCUGGGCGCCGCUGGGCUGUGCCAGCCCUGCCGUUCCCGCGCUCCUUAACCCCUUCUGCACCUUGUCACUGGGAUUAUCUCAGCUGCUCCCAGGAUGGGAAACGACGAAACUGCUUCCCUUGCUCCAGACAAACUCGCCCGGCUCAUCCGCAGCAGCAUCGCAGCCCUCAUGUGACUGUAAGUUUAGGGGGUAGGGGGAAAAGGAGUGAUUUGUCUGUAUAGUUGGGAUUUUAUUUGCAUUUUAAAUCACGUUCUUCUGCUAAACUAAUGGACCCCCUAUUUAUAGAUGACUCCAACAUAAAGUGACUGCUAAUUACUACAAUUAAUAUAGCGUUAAAGGCUUGCCAGCCAACUCCACUGCAACUUGUAUCGCCUACUCAUUUUCAAUUAAGGCACAUUGACAAGUAAAAUACGCAGUUAUUAAGAGCAGAGCCCUGUUGUGUAAUUACAUUUUUCUGAGGUCAUUAAUCUCCUGCAAUAUAAAGUUUUUUACCCAGUGGCCGGAGCGAGGGGCAGUUGUGAGGGACAGCGAGCCCAUCAGAGACGGUGGCGGUGUUCAGGGAAGGUAAAAGAGGUUGAUAUUUCUCAUGGUGUCAUCAGGCCAUGUGUGCAUGCCUCGGAUAAUCCGUCGGACCAUCGUGUCUGUGGCCAGCGGGUCCUCUGCUAAGCGACCAGGCCCUGAGUGCGCUGAUUGCCGGCGAAAGGAGCUCUUUCCAUGCUAAGGUGAGGUAGAAAAGCCCCGUGUCUGCAGAGCGCUCAGGUGAGGCUAUCGCUGCGGGUUCGCGUGUGUGGUUAUUCCCCUUGCAAACAACGGCACUGUGCUGAGAUCGAGGUUAGGGAUCCGGCGGCUCUGUCUCAUGGCUUGUUUCCGUGAAAUUUAAGUGUUAAAAGCCUCUCAAUACCACCGCAGUGAUUUUGCCUCCGGAGGGAGAGCGCAAUUUUGGAGAUGGGCUCCCGCACGUCAGGCCGUAGCGGGUGCUGGUGAGGACGAGCACCGCAGCAGGACGAGUGCGGUGUCACUCGGGUGCCAGCUCUGCCGCGACUGCAGACAGGGUCAGCUCCUUGCAGCUCAUUUCCUUCCCUGUUAUGUGGCCAGAAGGAUGCUUACCCCUUUGCAAAGCCUCGGAGACCGUGGUUAUGAACUGCUAUCAGUGCACGGGGGUUUUCGGAAGUGUCCCAGGACUCCGGUGCAAAACUCCCCCCAGUUUAACCAAGGUUUGUUGUUAACCCCAACGUUUAUUAUUGCCCCCAGGGCUCUCUGGAGCCACCCAGGCUGGGCUGGGCGUUGAACGCUCCUCCUCGGUGGCAGGUUGAAGAUGCCGCGUGGGAUCCUGCGGGCCUCCUACUUCCCCUCGCUGGGCUAGCGCGAGGGUGGUGACAGCUCCUGCGCACCGAGGCUGGGCUGGGGAUGUCGAGCUCAGAUCCACGACUUGACUGACACAAAAGCUUUCCAGCUUUGGAGACUGAAAGAGACAAAUGAGCAAUUUUCCGGGAAAUUAUCCUUUGGGAUUCCUCCUCUCUCCAGGCAGCUUAAUUGGUGCUACCAGCUGCUGUGCCUCAUCCAUGAGGGGCUGCUCCUGGCAGCGAUAGCGAGCCAUCAAGCCCAAGCCCGUCUCCCUGCUCCGAUGGAGGAGCCAGCUGGAGUCAGACCAAGGCGGAAAGUGUCAACGGGAAGGGACGCACUGCGGGUCUCUGGGCAGAGCUGGCUGGAGGUGCUGAGGGUCCGAAGUGCUCGGUGCUGUUUCUGAGAGUCUCUCCUGGCUGCGGCCCCACCACUGGCCUGCGUUUGCACAGCCCAGACAACAUCUGUAAUUCCAGCUUCUGCAGGGGCAAGUCCAGCCUGGGUGCAAGAGGGGGCAGCUACUGCUCCCCUUAAUCGCUGCUCCCAGUGCAGCUGCAGUGGGCUUUCAGCUGAGCAGCAAGAACCAGAUCUUUUGCUUUUGAAACGUGGUCUAAAACACCUUGUCCUUCUACCGUCCCUCUCUGAGCUGAAGGAUCUUUCACUCCCAUGCAGAAGGGACCUCCAAGGGCCAAGUGCUCACUCCUGGGCCAUGGGAUUCGGGGAAAAAGACUUCCCCAAAGUACCUCUUGGCAGUUGGAAAGUGCUUGUGCAGAGGUAUGCUCGUUCACACUUGGACUCUCUUGUGCAAACCUGGCUUUUGUCGCAAGCUGAUGCCACCCAAAGCCAGCAACAGCUGGGAUGGCUUAUUGUUACCGUGAAAUAGUGGCCAAUGAUUGUGGUGUUAAUCAGGCUCUUUAUGGCCCUCUGCAAAGCUACCCAAUGAAAUAUUUUGUCUCCCAUAUUUUCUGCGGCUCCUCCAGCUGCUCGGCUUCAGCUGCAGGGCAAGAGCUGGCGGCGAGGCGGCUCAGGUGCCCGCAGCCGGCUGCCUCCGAGGAAGCGGGUCUGGGACUGGGGCUGCGGCACCCAGCGCAACUGAGGGCCCAGGGUGAAUCGCGUGAUCGCUUUGGAGCCAAAACGCAGUGCUCGGGGCUUCCCGAAGGACCCCCAUACAUAAAUGAUGCUGAGGGGACCAGAGCUGCCGGGAGAGCUUUGGGAAGGCAGGACGAGGUGUCUCUGCCCUGGAUGCUGGAGUCUGCGUGUGGCCGUCAUGGCCUGUCCCCUGGGUGCGAGGCUGCUCCCUAAUCUGGCACCCAGCCGAGCAUCGUCCCCGCUGCUCCAUGCUCCGCCGAAACGGCUCCCUGAGCUCCUGAGGCCGCGACAAGGUGCUCCUGCCAUUAAUCACCCCCUCCAAGUGGCGUCUGCGGAGGAAUUAAACUCAUUUGUCACUGUUGCCCUGUUCUCACCCGCCCUUCUCCCAGUGCGCUCGUCUCAUGGGACCCGCUGCUCACGGUAGCCCCGUGUCCCCCGAUGUCCUCGGGCGUCCUUCAUCCAGCAGUCCCAGGGCAAGGCUGAGCCGUUUCUGUGCUCAGCACCCACCCUGAAACCACCAAGGCACCGGGGGAAACCCCCGCUAGCUGCGAGGCUGAGCCAACCCCUUUGCUCCACCAAAGCCUCUGGGAGAUGUUAACGAGUGUCAUGUGUCCUGCCUGUCCCUGUGGUCAGGAUUGAAGUGUCCUCCCCUGCCCCAAGCUGCUCAGUGUCCCGCGCCACAUGCAAAACCUCAGCCAGGACCGUCACUCACAGAGCAACAGGUUUGUUUUCACCCUCCUCCAUCCCCCGGUGCUAUGCAACCUCGCCACGCUCGCUAAAACCCGCUCCGGCGGCGUCGCGCUCUGGCUUGCAGCACGGCCCCUGGGAGCGCUCCCCUGGUAGCGAACAAGAGCUGCUCAUUAAUUAGCCUCCCGUUACUCCAGAGCAUCCCCUGCAAUAAUGCACGGCUCCUGCCUUUUAACUGCCUACAAGCGAUCACUCAGCCUCCAAUAGAAAAAGAAGGAACAAGCCCCUCGUCAUGUCGUUAGCAAUAAUUUUCCUGGCUGUUAACCUGCUCCUCUGCUCUAAUUUUUCACUAUACAGCCCCAGAGGCCGUGGGGAAGGCUGGGAGCCAAGCGCAGCGCCAGGCCCGCUGCUGACCUGGUACUAGUUACCCUGAGCCAGGCUUUUAGAGGGGUUCAGGGUUGAGCUCCUUUAAAGGGAAUUAGCUGGAAGCAUCUCCUAAAUCCCCGUGGCAUUUCAUGUGUGGCAAUAGGAAAUGCAGCCAGGAUUUACACUGCCGAUAGUUCCUGCAUGGCUGGAUCUCCGUGGAAAGCUAGCGUGCAAGGCGCUGUACGGCCCCGGCCGGGGGCACGUGGCUGCAACGGGACCGCAGCGACGGGAACCUGCAGCUGCGCUGGGCUCGGUGGCACUGCUGGGGCUCCCCGCGGCGGUCUGCCUUGGGCAGGCAGCGAAGAGCCUACCGAUUUGUGCGAAAAAGGAUGGAAAAUGUGAAUGACUGUAAUUGGGGGGUUUUGCAUUAGUCCUGGAAAUCCCAUGUCGGUCUCAGAAAUGCAGUCUCUGCCCCUAAACGUCUUAUAGUCCAAGGAAAAUACAGUGCUGUCGGGGAUGUCAGCCUUGCUGGGCAAGUCCCAAGGAGCCGGCUGUUUUCUUCUCUUGUUGCCUGCAAAUCCCCGACACGCUUAAAGCCUCCCUCCUGAUAGGGAGCCUAGCGCCUGAGCUCUGCAUAAACCUGCGCAAACUCGGCGGCUUAGCGUGCCGAAUGUAAUGUUCUCAGCCAGCCUCAUCUCUGCAAAUCUCCAUAUUUCCAAGGGAUAAACAUUCACCUCUCCUCCCUCCGGCUCUCACCUUAUUACCGAUUUUUCCAGCGUCGGUGUGGCAUCAGGCUCUAACCGCUGGAAGGGCAGCGGCCAGCCGGGUUUGGGGGCAGUGACGCGGGGGACUGCGGGGUCCUGCUCCGGGCUGGCCGGGCUCCCUAACGCGCAGGGCUGAUGCUGCAAACCCGACUGCAGACCUGCGUGGGGUUUAGACGAGAGGUGAGGCUGGGGCAGAGCAGGCUCCAAGCCCCGAGACACCAACCGUUCGCUCCUGGCCGGGCCGUCAGAUGCCUGCAGCUCUCCAGCCCCAUCCCAGGGCAGUGCGCACAUGGAUGGGGGGGGAAGAGGUGCUGAGCUGGUGGCAGGAGGAGGAGGAGGGGGACGGACAGAGCUUGUUCCUAAAGUACAGGGGGAGGCCGAGGAUGUAGAUCACCAGAAUUGGCCGGGGACAGGCCAUAAAACAAAAAUAAAAAGGUAUUAUAAUUUAUGAUGCACACUAAAAAUAUCCUGGGACCCUGGGUUAUGAAGAAGGAUUCAUUCUCUUGUUGACUCGGUGUAUCUUUAAAGAUGAUAAAUGACAUUAUAA